rnacentral:rRNA from 1 species
AGAGUUUGAUCCUGGCUCAGGACGAACGCUGGCGGCGUGCCUAAUACAUGCAAGUAGAACGCUGAAGAGAGGAGCUUGCUCUUCUUGGAUGAGUUGCGAACGGGUGAGUAACGCGUAGGUAACCUGCCUUGUAGCGGGGGAUAACUAUUGGAAACGAUAGCUAAUACCGCAUAACAAUGGAUGACCCAUGUCAUUUAUUUGAAAGGGGAAAAUGCUCCACUACAAGAUGGACCUGCGUUGUAUUAGCUAGUAGGUGAGGUAACGGCUCACCUAGGCGACGAUACAUAGCCGACCUGAGAGGGUGAUCGGCCACACUGGGACUGAGACACGGCCCAGACUCCUACGGGAGGCAGCAGUAGGGAAUCUUCGGCAAUGGGGGCAACCCUGACCGAGCAACGCCGCGUGAGUGAAGAAGGUUUUCGGAUCGUAAAGCUCUGUUGUAAGUCAAGAACGAGUGUGAGAGUGGAAAGUUCACACUGUGACGGUAGCUUACCAGAAAGGGACGGCUAACUACGUGCCAGCAGCCGCGGUAAUACGUAGGUCCCGAGCGUUGUCCGGAUUUAUUGGGCGUAAAGCGAGCGCAGGCGGUUUGAUAAGUCUGAAGUUAAAGGCUGUGGCUCAACCAUAGUUCGCUUUGGAAACUGUCAAACUUGAGUGCAGAAGGGGAGAGUGGAAUUCCAUGUGUAGCGGUGAAAUGCGUAGAUAUAUGGAGGAACACCGGUGGCGAAAGCGGCUCUCUGGUCUGUAACUGACGCUGAGGCUCGAAAGCGUGGGGAGCGAACAGGAUUAGAUACCCUGGUAGUCCACGCCGUAAACGAUGAGUGCUAGGUGUUGGAUCCUUUCCGGGAUUCAGUGCCGCAGCUAACGCAUUAAGCACUCCGCCUGGGGAGUACGACCGCAAGGUUGAAACUCAAAGGAAUUGACGGGGGCCCGCACAAGCGGUGAAGCAUGUGGUUUAAUUCGAAGCAACGCGAAGAACCUUACCAGGUCUUGACAUCCCGAUGCUAUUUCUAGAGAUAGAAAGUUACUUCGGUACAUCGGUGACAGGUUGUGCAUGGUUGUCGUCAGCUCGUGUCGUGAGAUGUUGGGUUAAGUCCCGCAACGAGCGCAACCCCUAUUGUUAGUUGCCAUCAUUCAGUUGGGCACUCUAGCGAGACUGCCGGUAAUAAACCGGAGGAAGGUGGGGAUGACGUCAAAUCAUCAUGCCCCUUAUGACCUGGGCUACACACGUGCUACAAUGGUUGGUACAACGAGUUGCGAGUCGGUGACGGCAAGCUAAUCUCUUAAAGCCAAUCUCAGUUCGGAUUGUAGGCUGCAACUCGCCUACAUGAAGUCGGAAUCGCUAGUAAUCGCGGAUCAGCACGCCGCGGUGAAUACGUUCCCGGGCCUUGUACACACCGCCCGUCACACCACGAGAGUUUGUAACACCCGAAGUCGGUGAGGUAACCUUUUGGAGCCAGCCGCCUAAGGUGGGAUAGAUGAUUGGGGUGAAGUCGUAACAAGGUA